rnacentral:misc_RNA from 1 species
AAGUCGUAACAAGGUUUCCGUAGGUGAACCUGCGGAAGGAUCAUUCUUGUAUCUCACCACUUUCAGUGGCAAACUCUGUGAACUAUACCUCUACUGUAGUGUGGCAACUGCGGUGGGCGAAUCUGGCGCAAGCGGUGAUGCUUGUAUAGCCACGCUUUUUGGAGUGUGGUUUACUACUGCAUCAAGCGCAACGCCAGUGCUGUUUCUCGCCCAGUUGCUGCCCUCAUCACCUAACACAAACAUCAACCAUCAAACUUUCUUAAAUACUAAUCUAAAUACAACUUUUAGCAACGGAUCUCUAGGCUCUC